rnacentral:sRNA from 1 species
AGCUGUUCCCCUCUGGAGGUUUUUGACCUUCACACCUUAAGGGCCCCGAUCUUUCGGUGGCCCCUUUUUUUGCUUAAA